rnacentral:rRNA from 1 species
UACGGAGGGUGCGAGCGUUGUCCGGAAUUAUUGGGCGUAAAGAGCUUGUAGGCGGUUUGUCGCGUCUGCUGUGAAAAUCCGGGGCUCAACCCCGGACUUGCAGUGGAUACGGGCAGACUAGAGUGUGGUAGGGGAGACUGGAAUUCCUGGUGUAGCGGUGAAAUGCGCAGAUAUCAGGAGGAACACCGAUGGCGAAGGCAGGUCUCUGGGCCACUACUGACGCUGAGAAGCGAAAGCAUGGGGAGCGAACAGG